CCGGCGAUGUCCGAAUGGGGAAACCCAGUGCAAUUCGUUGCACUAUCGUUAACUGAAUACAUAGGUUAACGAGGCGAACCGGGGGAACUGAAACAUCUAAGUACCCCGAGGAAAAGAAAUCAACCGAGAUUCCCCCAGUAGCGGCGAGCGAACGGGGAGCAGCCCAGAGUCUGAAUCAGCUUGUGUGUUAGUGGAACGGUCUGGAAAGUCCGACGGUACAGGGUGAUAGUCCCGUACACCAAAAUGCACAGGCUGUGAACUCGAAGAGUAGGGCGGGACACGUGGUAUCCUGUCUGAAUAUGGGGGGACCAUCCUCCAAGGCUAAAUACUCCUGACUGACCGAUAGUGAACCAGUACCGUGAGGGAAAGGCGAAAAGAACCCCGGCGAGGGGAGUGAAAAAGAACCUGAAACCGUGUACGUACAAGCAGUGGGAGCACCUUCGGGUGUGACUGCGUACCUUUUGUAUAAUGGGUCAGCGACUUAUAUUCUGUAGCAAGGUUAACCGUAUAGGGGAGCCGCAGGGAAACCGAGUCUUAACUGGGCGUUAAGUUGCAGGGUAUAGACCCGAAACCCGGUGAUCUAGCCAUGGGCAGGUUGAAGGUUGGGUAACACUAACUGGAGGACCGAACCGACUAAUGUUGAAAAAUUAGCGGAUGACUUGUGGCUGGGGGUGAAAGGCCAAUCAAACCGGGAGAUAGCUGGUUCUCCCCGAAAGCUAUUUAGGUAGCGCCUCGUGAAUUCAUCUUCGGGGGUAGAGCACUGUUUCGGCUAGGGGGUCAUCCCGACUUACCAACCCGAUGCAAACUACGAAUACCGAAGAAUGUUAUCACGGGAGACACACGGCGGGUGCUAACGUCCGUCGUGAAGAGGGAAACAACCCAGACCGCCAGCUAAGGUCCCAAAGUCAUGGUUAAGUGGGAAACGAUGUGGGAAGGCACAGACAGCCAGGAUGUUGGCUUAGAAGCAGCCAUCAUUUAAAGAAAGCGUAAUAGCUCACUGGUCGAGUCGGCCUGCGCGGAAGAUGUAACGGGGCUAAACCAUGCACCGAAGCUGCGGCAGCGACACUAUGUGUUGUUGGGUAGGGGAGCGUUCUGUAAGCCUGCGAAGGUGACCUGUGAGGGUUGCUGGAGGUAUCAGAAGUGCGAAUGCUGACAUAAGUAACGAUAAAGCGGGUGAAAAGCCCGCUCGCCGGAAGACCAAGGGUUCCUGUCCAACGUUAAUCGGGGCAGGGUGAGUCGACCCCUAAGGCGAGGCCGAAAGGCGUAGUCGAUGGGAAACAGGUUAAUAUUCCUGUACUUGGUGUUACUGCGAAGGGGGGACGGAGAAGGCUAUGUUAGCCGGGCGACGGUUGUCCCGGUUUAAGCAUGUAGGCUGGUUGUCCAGGCAAAUCCGGAUAAUCAAGGCUGAGGUGUGAUGACGAGGUACUACGGUGCUGAAGUAACAAAUGCCCUGCUUCCAGGAAAAGCCUCUAAGCAUCAGGUAACAUCAAAUCGUACCCCAAACCGACACAGGUGGUCAGGUAGAGAAUACCAAGGCGCUUGAGAGAACUCGGGUGAAGGAACUAGGCAAAAUGGUGCCGUAACUUCGGGAGAAGGCACGCUGGUGUGUAGGUGAAGUCCCUGCGGAUGGAGCUGAGACCAGUCGAAGAUACCAGCUGGCUGCAACUGUUUAUUAAAAACACAGCACUGUGCAAACACGAAAGUGGACGUAUACGGUGUGACGCCUGCCCGGUGCCGGAAGGUUAAUUGAUGGGGUUAUCCGUAAGGAGAAGCUCUUGAUCGAAGCCCCGGUAAACGGCGGCCGUAACUAUAACGGUCCUAAGGUAGCGAAAUUCCUUGUCGGGUAAGUUCCGACCUGCACGAAUGGCGUAAUGAUGGCCAGGCUGUCUCCACCCGAGACUCAGUGAAAUUGAACUCGCUGUGAAGAUGCAGUGUACCCGCGGCAAGACGGAAAGACCCCGUGAACCUUUACUAUAGCUUGACACUGAACAUUGAGCCUUGAUGUGUAGGAUAGGUGGGAGGCUUUGAAGCGUGGACGCCAGUCUGCGUGGAGCCAACCUUGAAAUACCACCCUUUAAUGUUUGAUGUUCUAACGUUGGCCCCUGACCGGGGUUGCGGACAGUGUCUGGUGGGUAGUUUGACUGGGGCGGUCUCCUCCCAAAGCGUAACGGAGGAGCACGAAGGUUAGCUAAUCCUGGUCGGACAUCAGGAGGUUAGUGCAAUGGCAUAAGCUAGCUUGACUGCGAGCGUGACGGCGCGAGCAGGUGCGAAAGCAGGUCAUAGUGAUCCGGUGGUUCUGAAUGGAAGGGCCAUCGCUCAACGGAUAAAAGGUACUCCGGGGAUAACAGGCUGAUACCGCCCAAGAGUUCAUAUCGACGGCGGUGUUUGGCACCUCGAUGUCGGCUCAUCACAUCCUGGGGCUGAAGUAGGUCCCAAGGGUAUGGCUGUUCGCCAUUUAAAGUGGUACGCGAGCUGGGUUUAGAACGUCGUGAGACAGUUCGGUCCCUAUCUGCCGUGGGCGCUGGAGAAUUGAGGGGGGCUGCUCCUAGUACGAGAGGACCGGAGUGGACGCAUCACUGGUGUUCGGGUUGUCAUGCCAAUGGCACUGCCCGGUAGCUAAAUGCGGAAGAGAUAAGUGCUGAAAGCAUCUAAGCACGAAACUUGCCCCGAGAUGAGUUCUCCCUGAGACUUUAAGUCUCCUGAAGGAACGUU
rnacentral:rRNA from 1 species